GGAUCUUCUGGAGCCACCAGAAGUUCAGGUGGUUGUGAGCUGCACGAAGCAGGUGCUGGGAAUAGAACUCGGGGUCUCCGGAGGAGCAGUCUUCACUCUUAACCUCUGAGCCAUCUCUUCAGCCCCAGAUCACUUGUUUUGGCUGUCAAUAAUUUCUAGGUUUAUUACAGCUACCUUCAGACACACCAGGGCAUCAGAUCCCACUACAAAUGGUGGUGAGCUACCAUGUGGUUGUGGGGAAUUGAACUCAGGACCUCAGGACCUCUUAGGUGCCGUCAGUGCUCUUAACCACUGAGCCAUCUCUCCAGCCCUUGCUUUUGUUUUCUUUAGAAGUAUUUUCAGCCUGACGGGGUCUCUGCUGUUUGUUCUUCAUUUGCUUUUAGCUUGCUGGUUCUGCCAUGUUCUGUGUGGUGCAUUAAAGCCUCCAAACGGCUGAGCUCUUCCACAGCCUCUCUGAGUAUCAUCCAGCUACUACUUUGGGAGAGCAGGCUUUUCCCAUUAUCUGGUGUGACUCAUGGUGGAGGUCCAUGAGCUCCGCCCACUUCCACAAUGACGUCAUACAGAGGCUUCGUACGGUUGCUAAGCGAUAAGUAAACAUCACGUGACGGUGAAGCUGCCUGGAUUAAUAUUUUACAUGUUUACUCAUAUUCUAGACUGGUAGAGAUCAGUUCAAAUUAUUUAUUUUAAAACUUCGCAUUUCCCAACUUAAUUAUUGAAACUCUUGUGCUUUUGUUGUUUUGGUUUUUUUCCUUUGUCCAAGACCAGCCUGAAAUCUACCAGGAGAAAGUGUUAAGAAGAAAACAAAGGCCUAGUCUUCUGCUCAGGGGAACGUUCCAGCUCUCCUUCGACAGAAGGGGCUCACGUUCACAUUUCUCUCCAAGGAUGAGAAGGCCCAGUCUGCUGGACUCUGGUGGGGCCAUCAUCCGGCUGGGCCAGGAGCUGCUGCCGACCGCACUCAGAACUGGAGGGUCAGGAGCGAAGAGCCAGCCUCUGCAGGCCCCCGACGCAGUCUCCUCCAGAGAAUUUCAGAAGAACAAAGAUUUCAGAUUUCUGCGCUGUCAGAAAUGCCCCAUGGUUCAUGCGCCCUGUUUGAAAGGGUGCUGUGAUUUGCCCUGCGGCUGCUGCAGCGACCCUCCAGCCCGCCUGUCUCCUGCCGCAGAGCUGUCCAACCUCCUUGUGAGGACAGAGCCAGAGAAUCGUGGCACAGAUAACUGUCCCCGGGACCAAAAUGACCUGUGUGGUCUGUUGGUGUCACUUUAGGGCAGUGAUUCCUGGAUGCAACUCCACUCAGAAGGCCAGAAAGCUCAGAAGCCUCAGUCACUACUUAGCGGAACCCCAUUUUUACAAAAGUCCCCACUAGAGGGCACUGUCUUAGAUUUAAACUGGAGUCCUUGAUGGCAUCCCCCUCAGGGAAAAGCUGAAUGUCAAGUUUUCCUGAAAGAAAUUUUAAAAAAUUGAACGAAUGAA